CAGCUGACUGCAGUGAGGCAGGCAGGAGUCUCUCUCUGGAGCGGAACAGGGAAACAGGGCGAGGUCCCUGGCUGGAUCUGUUGCUCAGCGCUGCCUACGAUGGACAGCUGUUACGCAUGUCUGCUCUGCUCCCAGAGCCCAGCUUUGUUUGCUAAUGCCUGGGAACCCACUGUAUGACCAGAGCCUCGCUGUUGAUGCAGCUCACUCUCCUCUCCAGCUGGGCGCUCAUUCAUCUUUUUAUACGCUGUAUGUGUGGAGGCCAUCAGCUGCUACACAACACAACAGCCACACGAACACUGGGGAGACCGGCUGAGCUGAGCUAAGCUGAGCCAAGAGGAAGCUCUACACAGCCUCUACAAACAGUCUGGGAACAUCAUUGGAUUUCUGAACUGUUACACCCGAAAGAUGACAAGCUCAAACCUAAUUAUGUUUUUUCCAAAAGAGAACCAAUGCAAACCUAGAUUUGUUUUGUGCCAGCUGUUGACACAAUGGAUGAAACGGGAGAAAGCUUUUGAGCACCCAUAAACCAAUAUUUACCUGAGGGUAACAAGUUCAAGAUUAGUUUGAUGUCAGGUGUCCUUCCUUCAGGUCUAAACUGAGUGAAAACAACAUGCACUCCAUCAUCCCUGGAAUGAAUUGAGUUUUAGCGGGAGACUUUGUUGAAGGUUCUGUUGAACCUAUCAGAAUUUCCGCUUGCGCUCCAGUGGGAUUAAGGUCCUUAAGAGCGUGGUAGUUCUCUAGCAGCCAAUAAGCAAACAAACAAGAAAAUGAUUUCCAUACACACAGCUGCUGUGCCAUCCUUCCUUUCCUGGCUCGGUGCAAUAGUCACGCAUGUUCCUAACCACAAGCCCUCUGUAGGCAACAUCAAUCCACACGGCCAAUUGUUACUGUACACCUGCAUGUAACUUGUGAUCUUUUACCCACCUCCUACAGCACUUACAAACCAGAGCACUGUGGAAAAAGAUGUCACUUUGUAAAGCUGUGUGUAUGUGUUUCUGUGUGCAUAAGUGUGGGAACAAAUGAAAAUGUUUGUCUGUGCCUUGAUAACAUAUACAGAAGUACAUAAGAAUAUACACACACAGACACACAGAUACAGUGUCAGGGAUUUUAAAACAGCAGACACAAAAUGUGCAGAGGAGCACUGGAGCACGACACAAGAGAAGAUGAAAAAUCCAUUCAGCUAAGCGAACAAUCUCUCAUGUAAUGAUGCCUAGUUCUCCAUGUAUGUCAUGUCAGCCUAGCUGAGCCGGGAAAGUGAGCUGCUAUGUGACAUUCGACCAUUAAUUCAUUAUUUUCCCCCUCAAAAUAAAAAAACGAUGAACCUCAAUUCACUGAAGUAUAUUUAGCUGCAAAUAAGUGCUCCCCUGUGAGGUUUGAUGUUUAAGUCAUUGUCACUGUUUUGCAUGGAUAGGAAAGAGUUAAGUUUUAGAUAUAUUUUUACACCAUACUUUAUUUAAUUAUUGUAAUGAGCAAAUAAUGCUUCUACAGAUGAGGAUUAUGUUGUUCUGAUUUUCCCUUCUGGUUUCGGUUUGGGACUGAGAAGAUUGGACUUUCAAAAUAAGGACCACAACUAUUUUCCUUUGUUUCACCUGGAAUAAAAUGGCAUUUGUAAAAUACUGCACAAUUAUA